UUGAAAUGAGCUGUGAAGGAGGGGGGUUGUUCUUACGCAUGCGCUCAUUUCAAAAACUCACUAACAGUCUUUGGUUUCUCAGUCGACGAAAAGAUCCUCUUUAGCACCUUUAAUAAACCAUUGCUUUGUUAUAUCGGCCUUUUUCCUGCUAAAGCCGAUAUGCUGAUGGUUGUAAAUUGAGUAAAAAUCGACCGUGCAAUCUCACCGUCUGUAAAUAUUUAAAUAUAUUUAAAUAUUUUAAAUAUAUAAAAUAUUAUAUUUUACAAAAUGCAUUUUAAAUAAAGUAAAAUGAUAUUACUUAAUGAAGCAAUAUACUGAAUAAUAAUUAUACAUGUAAUUUACAAUUUAAUCACAGCAUCAAUUUUGGCAGAUAAAUGCUGAGUUUUUGAAUGAAUAAAACAAUCUCAAAAAGGGUAACAGCAUUAAACUUACAUUUACACUAAAUAUAACUUUAAAAAAAACUAGAAUAUAUUCUAAUUUAUACAACAAAGUUGACACUAUGAAUAUAAAGAUUAACUAAAUAUUAUUAUUCUACUAUAAAUAGAUGGUGAUUAUUAUUUUUUUAUCAGUUCAAUUACAUGAACUCUCCAAAUAAACUGAUUCACUAGAAUGAAUCAGAUUUUCCAGUGCUACAUAUGAGAACACGUCUGAUUAUUGCCACAACUCGCUCGGCAGUAAAACCGCAUGCAAAUUACAAUGUGACACUGAAAACAGCAAUGUAGCUUUGUGGUUGCACCACACUGCUGCUAGUGGAAAAGUAGCAGUGUUUUUGAAAACAACUGAGCUAUUCUGUCAUUGCUACUGUUAAAGGUAGUUCAUCGCUAAAUUUAGCCUCCAACGCUGCUGCUUUCCCCUCGAUGUCCCCUCCUUAGCAUUCCUGUUUGAAAUCCUAACAAGGUUAUUUAUUAGAAAAACAAUACAGUCAACAAGAAAGUAUCCUUAUAGUUAAUUCUGUCAUUAUAGUAGUAUCUAAAUGAUCCUGUUCUAAUUUAAGCACACAAAGCUGGAUUUAAGAUAUGAUAUUCUAAAAUUGUUUUAUCUCACUGCGGCCAAUAAGCAGAUUACCGUGAAUGUUCUACCUAGUAGCUGAGAGCUCAUUAAAGCAGAAACAAAGACUUGAUAGUGUCAGAGGCUGCAUAUAUUUUCCCCACAGAGGUCAUUAGGGUAGAUUAGCACUGUUCUGUUGAGAUAGAAACUCCAAUUCCUGCUCAUUUCAGCUCUGGCUGGGUUGCUGCCCAUGAGGAGAGGUUCAGUCAGGCUGCAGCGGCAACUGUGUCACCAUGGUUAGUCCGAGGCACACGGGCGUCCGUUACCUUGGUAACGGGAGGAUGGCUGGGACCGAGUGACAAGCUGUGUUAAUUCUUUCACCCGUGAACCCCAGAGGAUCAGCACCAUUUCUCUUCAUUUCCAUCGGAAUCUGAGACCCCAUUAAAACAGUCUGAUUUUCACCACAUCUCAGCUUAUUAGCACCACAGUUUCAUUCUUUUUAUUCCCCUGGAUUUCCUUAUUGGAUACAUCAGAGGCAAAGAAAGGGACCUGUGUGACAGCAGUUACGAUACUCAACCAUUAAGCGACCACCACCCAAGACAGGCCUGCGUGGGGCUGGAGGGGACAUGCGGUGAUAAAAUCAGAAUGGCUGCAGCUCCCAACCCGGCAGAGGUGAACCACAUUCGACGAUAGCAAAUCUGACAGAGCUGCUGUGUUGAUGCAUAUGACCCGCUACACCACAGAGCCCGGUUUUAUCGCACCGCAAAUCAAAUAGACCCGGCUACCAUGGAGCGUUUAAACCAUGUGGACACACAUAGACACACACCUUGACAUUCAAAUUCCCUCAGAAUUCUCCUCCCAUAGGUUUAUAUCUUCUCCGUGACGCUUGCCAGACGGUGAGAUUGCACGGCAGUCGAGCUGGGCCGAGGUUUAACAUUUCACAGAAGGUCAGUGAGCAUAGUGUGAUUUGAAAUCCAGCAGCUUUAUCUCUAUUGUAGACACCGGCCAUCUCCCCAUGAAUGCCACUGCCUUGCUGGGGCUCAGCUAAUACAGCAAAGCAUCCAGGCAUGAGAGUACAGGCUAAUCUAAUCCCAAUGACAGAGGCGCGAGCAGAGAAAAACGUCCGCACAACUCUCAAACACAUGUACAGGCAUAUCUCAACAGGAAACACAGGAGGAUGAUGGGUAACUGUAUCCUAGUCACCACGCUCAACCUGGGGCUGCAGUGUGAUGGAGUAAGUCCCUGUUGUUCAAGCGUCGGCUCAGGGCCUGCGGAGAAAACCCGGGAGACAGGAAAUUGAAUUUGCCAGUGUAUCGGUGACAAGGGAACACACAGUUAGCAGCUGAGUCCAAGGAUGCAGAGCCUCAAGGGGAGAGGACACUUAAUGAAAAUUAAGACACUGCUCAAACCCAAACCACUUAAUUCAGCUGAUCAGCAGGCCGCAGUUGGAUAUAAAGUUUAGAAAGUAAUAAUAAAGGUUCCAGUUAGAAACAAAAAGGGUUUCACUAGUUCAGUAGUCAUGUCAUUAAAGUAUGAUUUAAGCUCCUAAAAGAACUUCCUAUUCUCUGUUUUUUUUUUUGUU